rnacentral:rRNA from 1 species
UACGGAGGAUCCGAGCGUUAUCCGGAUUUAUUGGGUUUAAAGGGUGCGCAGGCGGAAGAUUAAGUCGGUGGUGAAAUUUUGCAGCUCAACUGUAAAAGUGCCUUCGAUACUGGUUUCCUUGAGUGUGGAUGAAGUAGGCGGAAUUUGUGGUGUAGCGGUGAAAUGCUUAGAUAUCACGAGGAACUCCGAUUGCGCAGGCAGCUUACUAAACCACUACUGACGCUCAGGCACGAAGGCGUGGGGAUCAAACAGGAUUAGAUACCCUGGUA